rnacentral:rRNA from 1 species
GUAACGCGUAUGCAACCUGCCCUUCACAGGGGGAUAACCGGGAGAAAUUCCGACUAAUACCGCAUACGUCCUCCGGGGGCAUCCCCGGGGGAUGAAAGAAUUAUCGGUGAAGGAUGGGCAUGCGUGAUAUUAGGUAGUUGGCGGGGCAACGGCCCACCAAGCCCACGAUAUCUAGGGGUUCUGAGAGGAAGGUCCCCCACAUUGGUACUGAGACACGGACCAAACUCC